CCCAGAUAUGCCAGCAGCGGGGGGAGGUCACCUUUGAGAAAGUGCGUGGAGGUGGGUUUCUUCAGAAGCGCGGAGUCUUUCUGGGUGCGAGCCUGGGGGUAGCGGGUGGUGGCUUUGAGGAUGGUCUCCAGGGGGGCCCUCUGUGUGUGGGGUCUCCGUCUGGGUAGGGGCCAGGAAUAUCAGCGGAGGGACUCAGGGUCGUCCCUAUGUGUGACAGUGGCGCUGUGUGUUGGGGAGCUUCGGGAAAGCACUUUUUUUGAGUGAUAGGGGGCCUGGUCUCCCCUGGAGGGUGGGCGGGUUAUCUGAGGGAGUCCUCGGAGGGUCGCCCCCUUGCGCGUCAGAGUUGCUGCGUGGGGUCUCAGAGAUAGCGCCUGGGCUGGGGAAAUCAUUGUGGGGUCUCCGUGGUAAGGUUAGCGGGGUGGGGACGGCCUGCGUCUUCGGCAGGUCGUCGCAGUCUGGCACCAUCGUUGAAUGGGGACGAGUUUGGGAAGGGUAUUUUAGGGGGGAAUAACUUUUGAGUUCCCAGCGUGCGGGGGAAGGGCGGGACGGGAGGGUGUCCCAAGGCCUGAGAAGAUCAGUGUGGGGCAGGGGUCAGGAAUAACCUGGGAGGGGGCCUUGUAUGGGGGAAAUAAUUGGGAAGAGGAGAGAUGGGAUGAAGGGGGCCUCAGCGGGUCGUCUCCUGUGUAUGCAGGGUCGUUCUGCAGCGUCUCUGGGAGAUGGCGUCCCUGGGAGCCCUCAGGUCGCCCCUACCCGCUGCGGGGUGCUUUCCUGGCGUCACGCCUUCCUGGCCCCUGGAGGGAAGGAAGUGAAACUCUCCUCUUCCCCCACCCGGCUGGAAUGCGAGUCAGGAAGCCUGGGGCUCCAGCCUGCUCCGGCUGCCCGGGUCGGGGAUGGGGAGGGGCGUGGCCGGAGCGCAAAGCCCCG
rnacentral:lncRNA from 10 species